rnacentral:rRNA from 1 species
GCAUAUCAAUAAGCGGAGGAAAAGAAACCAACAGGGAUUGCCCCCAGUAACGGCGAAGUGAAGCGGCAACAGCUCAAAUUUGAAAUCUGGCCCCUAGGGUCCGAGUUGUAAUUUGUAGAGGAUGCUUUUGGCGCGGCGCCUUCCGAGUUCCCUGGAACGGGACGCCAUAGAGGGUGAGAGCCCCGUCUGGUUGGAUGCCUAGCCUCUGUAAAGCUCCUUCGACGAGUCGAGUAGUUUGGGAAUGCUGCUCUAAAUGGGAGGUAUAUGUCUUCUAAAGCUAAAUACCGGCCAGAGACCGAUAGCGCACAAGUAGAGUGAUCGAAAGAUGAAAAGCACUUUGAAAAGAGGGUUAAAUAGUACGUGAAAUUGUUGAAAGGGAAGCGUUUGUGACCAGACUUGGGCUCGGUUGAUCAUCCAGCGUUUUCGCUGGUGCACUCUGCCGGCCCAGGCCAGCAUCAGUUCGCGCCGGGGGAUAAAGGCUUCGGGAAUGUGGCUCCUCGGAGUGUUAUAGCCCGUUGUGUAAUACCCUGGUGCGGACUGAGGUUCGCGCUCCGCAAGGAUGCUGGCGUAAUGGUCAUCAGCGACCCGUCUUGAAACACGGACCAAGGAGUCGUCUUCGUAUGCGAGUGUUCGGGUGUCAAACCCCUACGCGUAAUGAAAGUGAACGCAGGUGAGAGCUUCGGCGCAUCAUCGACCGAUCCUGAUGUUCUCGGAUGGAUUUGAGUAAGAGCAUACGGGGCCGGACCCGAAAGAAGGUGAACUAUGCCUGUAUAGGGUGAAGCCAGAGGAAACUCUGGUGGAGGCUCGCAGCGGUUCUGACGUGCAAAUCGAUCGUCAAAUAUGGGCAUGGGGGGCGAAAGACUAAUCGAACCUUCUAGUAGCUGGUUUCCGCCGA